UAAUUGUAUGAAAGGAGAUAAAUUCAGCACUCCCGUAUACAAGAAUGGAUUGCAAUACUACUUAAUGGAUACUAAUUUUGAAAUUGUUCUUU